rnacentral:lncRNA from 1 species
AAGGGCAAUCCUACAAGGGUGAUGCCAGUCUUAGGCCCAACACAGAGAUGCAGAAACUGAGGCUUGGAGAAGACAAGUAAACAAUUCAGCAAAUAAAUAUGAGGGUAAAUAAAUAUGGCUGUAUCUCCAACUAUACUGUAAGCUCUCUGAGAGCAGAACUUGAAUCUCUUACUCAGCUGUAUUUCUCAAGUGCUUAAUAUGGUAUAUGGCUAGGCUGAUCCCACAUCUUAGUUUGCCUAGUAUAGUCAUUUAAUUUAACCUGUUAUUACAACACGAUUAUGAGUGGUAUCACCUUUUAUUCUCAAAUGUGUCCAGAUUUCCCAAUGUUUGGCUCCUAGUGAUGACCACAUUAAUGUUUGUUAAACUGAACAGGACUGGCCCAAGGUAUAGUAAGAAGUUGAAAUUAAGAAGUAGACCUCAUCCCAACAUCAGAACUCUUUCCAAUUAAUUUCUGAAGGGAAUUAAUCAGUUAUGAGUAAACUUCAUUUUCAAGCCAUCAAGGAAAAGCAAACCACAGAUAAUCUGACUCCCUUAGCUGGAAAGAGACCCUUUCCUUACCUACUUCAUCACAGUCGUUUUAGAGAUAAAGAAUCUGCACCCAGAAAGGUCAACUGAGUUGUGAUGAACAAGAGAAAAAUCCAUGGCUGGAAAUCUGUCUUCCACACCAAGCCUAAAGCUCACCCUGGCACUCGUGGACCUCAACUUGCCAUCCUCCUUCAUGACUCCAGAUAUUCACGGAAUACUAUCUUGGUGUCAGGCAAAGUCCUGGGACCUGCAAGGCCUCCAUCAUUCCACUGGGAGAGUCAAGCGAGGAAGACACAGCAGUCCUUAAAAGAUUCCCUUGUGCUGUGAUACUUUUCUGCCACAAAACCUGCAAAUAUAUUACAUGUUUUUCAUUACUGUAGAAGAUAGGCAGCAUCCUAUGUUGGAGGACUUAAAGAAGGCUUCAUUGAGGAAGUGACUUUGAACCUGUUUACUGAAGGAUGAGCAAAAGAUUUCUGUGAAAG